UCUGUGCAGAUCCUGUGUCGCGUCCUGUGUGCUUCUUUUAUUGGGUUUUUCUUUUUUACGGCUUUUUUUGUACGGGUAAAAGUGAUAAGGUUUUCUGGGACAGUGGCGCUCAGCAUCGUUCCCUUCAUCCUUCCGUGGAGAUGAAAAGCCAGACCAACAGCCAGCAGCUGUAUCACACCCGCCACCGUGCGUCUCCAUGAGAAUGCGUCAAAGUGGUGGACGCUUUUAUCUCCGAAACAGGAUCAACAUCAAAGCAUCAACCGGCGGCAGAAUUUAAAAAAGAACUUACAUAUUACCCAGGCUGGAUGGACGCAAGCCUUUAAAGUAUGAAUGCAAAAGUAUUGAAAACCUCGCCCGGAUUGGAACUUUAGAGAACUAAAAAAAACAUGAAAUUGGGAGAGUCUUCCAAACACGCGGAUGUGUGCCUUUGAUGGAAACGGUUUAUUGCGCGGAUUCUAAUUACACCUCGUAAAAUGGUACCCGUUUUUCGGUCGCGAUGUCGAGAUGCCGCCGAGAUAUGAAGCGUGCGAAUUUGCGAAUUGCGAUGGCGAGAAAUCACCCGAUCGCGCACGAAUCGCGCAGCUCAUUCGCCUCCUCGAACACGAACCAAUGUCCCAAUGUCCAGCGUCAUCUAUCGGCGAGAUUUAGUACUACUCAGAACCGCUGCAUCUUUUACUGUCAACCGAAGCUCUACGCAAGGUGGAUGCAAUCCGAGAUCAGGUGAGGACAGAUAGAGACGAAGACUAAGAAAUCAUUAAUUUAUUUGCUAUUUUCACCUUUAUUCCGCAUCAUCUACGAGACACACAUGGACACACGAGGACAAUUGCAGUAAGUAUUGCCUGAUUUUGUAUCUCUGAUGUUUGUUCAAUAAAAUGAAUAAAUACAAAAAUGCACUUGCCUAUAAGCAAGAA